rnacentral:snoRNA from 1 species
AAAAGAUGAACCAUUUAGAUGACGAGUCUGAAACCGAAGUGACAGAGUUUCUCUGUUUCAUCGGAACGUGACGACUCAAUCAAAUUAUACCAUUCAUGCUUAACUGAUC